rnacentral:lncRNA from 1 species
AAUGAUUAUAUCUUAUAUGAAAGUUGACAAUUCAUGAGUAAAAAGAAAUAAAAAAGGAAAAUCAAUGAUAUGAAACAAUAAAUAUUUUUAUGAGUGCUUAGUGAAGUGUUUUAGGUUUCUUUAUUUUGAAAGUGUGAAAGUGUAGAAAUGGACAAUGUAUAAAUAUUCCACAUUGUGGAAAUUAUAAUGGUCUAAUCUCAUGGUUUGUGUUGUAAAAAUAAAUACUGUGAUGGAAUAUUUAAAGAACCUGUUAAAAAAAGAAAAUUCAGGAACCGAAGCACAUGUAAAGGAAGCAAAAACUCAGGAACAAGCACAAUUGCUCAACUUUUGUCUGUAGAAGAUAAAAUCGAGAUAAAGAUCCGAGAAUCCACUGCAUUGUGUUUUUUUGAAAUGAAAAUAGUGAAGGAAGAUUUGACUCUAGUCUUCUUGAAUGUGAAAAAAUUCAUCCAAUAUGCACACUGUCACUGCACAUACUGUCAAUGUACACACUUUAAGAUGGGCAAUUUCAAGAUAUUAUGCAGAAGCACGAUUGUUAACUUUAAAGCCAUUCUAUUCUAUCAUCUUUAAACGUAAUGAAACAAAGUAAGAAAUUUGGUUACCAGAUAUAGGAACUUUUGGUCCUUUGGUACAACAUGUAUCUAAAAAUAUAAUGACAGUAAAAUACUAAGCUUGGAUUAAACAUCCAUCAGAAGAAUUUAAAUUUGUGAAUAUUAAUUUAGAUGAAAAUGAUUUAAGCGUAUCAAAAGAACAUUAACAUUAACAUAUCACAUAUCACAAGAUGAUAAUAUAAGAAGAUAAAAUGGUAAAGCAUUGAUACAGAUGUUUCGAGAUGAUACUUUAACACUUGAAAAUUUAGAUUUAAAUAGAUUUGGAUUCAAGGACUCAAUAUAGAAUCUACAAUUUUACCAUACAGUAUCAUUGAAAAUUUUGAAGUUGGAUGUGAUCGUUCCGUAGAGAAUAAUAUGAUAUCUAUUUAUAUUUUUAUAUUUAACAUUAAUAUUCAAUGAUAGGCAAUGAUAGAGAUUGGCAUGGUGAAAUUAAAUAGAAGUUUGAAAAUGAUAUGGUAAGCGAUAAUUGAAGAAAUGAGUCAUGAAAAAAAAUUGAAGAUAAAUUUAUGAGCGAAAAUAAAUAUAAAUCUGAGGAUAUCUUCGUUAACAAUAUUCCUACGUAUUUAGAAGCAUUGAAAAAAAAAAAAAAAAAGAAAAAGAAA